CGUUCUGUGGCUUAGUUGGUAAAAACGCCGGUCUAGCGAAUAUAGAGUCGUGGGUUCAAAUCCCACCAGCACGC
rfam:Aedes albopictus isolate Foshan contig90535, whole genome shotgun sequence.